ensembl:lncRNA
GGCCCCGCCCACUUUGAUUAACGCCCAAUCGGGUCCCGCCCCGAUUAUGCCCUGCCCCGCCCCUCCGUUUUGGCCCCGCCCACUUUGCGGCAGUGUCCAAUCAGGCCCCGCCCCCGAUCGGGACCAGCCCAUUAGUCCAGCCACGCCCAGUUUGCGCUAACGUCCAAUCAGGCCCCGCCCCGUUAAGCACCCCCCAGUCGGGCCACGCCCAGUUUGCAGCAACGUCCAAUCAGACCCCACCCCUUUAAACCCCGCCCCCGCUCAGACCCCCGCCCGGUUUGUGAUAACGUCCAAUCAGGCCCCGCCCCCUGGUCAGGCCCCGCCCACUCUGCGGAGCGGAAGGCGGUGGCGCGCGGUGCGCCAUGAGCCCACGGGAGCGCGCACGGAAACCACGGCGCUGAGCCAUGGCUGAGCCGUGCCCGGUUGACGUCGGUCCUCCCAGCGAUGGCGGCGAUGCCGUCGGAGGUCCCGGUGGCGCCGUGGGUGGUCCCGGUGACGCCGUGGGUGGUCCCGGUGGAGCCGUGGGUGGUCCCGGUGGCGCCGUGGGUGGUCCCGGUGGAGCCGUGGGUGGUCCCGGUGGAGCCGUGGGGGACACUCUGCCGUGGAGAAGGGGGAAACGCCACCCGCGGGCGCAGCGCGGCGCCGCCAUCAGCGGCAAUGGGAGCGUCCCCGACCCCGCCGAGAGGGCCGUCAUACGCAUCGCAGGUAC